rnacentral:pre_miRNA from 1 species
AAUAAGAUUUUGCUGCGAUCUAUAGCCGAGCAAAGCUUUUUUUAACUCAAGCGACUGGCAAAGCUUUGCUCGGCUAUAUAUCGCAGCAAAAACUUAUU